rnacentral:lncRNA from 1 species
GCCUGGUUUAGAACUGAGGGGUGCAUAUAGGGAAAUCUGGGGGUGCAAGGGUAAAAACUGACUGUUUGGCCCAUCUGUCAUUAUUUAUCAAAUAAAAUCUGAUUUUGGGCUUUAAAUUGCAAUUUGAACCAAUAAAACUCUAACUUCAGCUGCACAAAUAAAUAUUAGAACAUCCAAGAAUAAUUUAUGCAAUUAAAAUUACUUUUUAAGCCCUUUUUAUUUCCAAACA